rnacentral:tRNA from 7 species
CGGGGCGUAGCGCAGUCUGGUAGCGCACUUGUCUGGGGGACAAGUGGUCGCAAGUUCAAAUCUUGCCGUCCCGACCA